GAUGAACGCUGGCGGCGUGCCUAAUACAUGCCAGUCGAGCGAACAGACGAGGAGCUUGCUCCUCUGACGUUAGCGGCGGACGGGUGAGUAACACGUGGAUAACCUACCUAUAAGACUGGGAUAACUUCGGGAAACCGGAGCUAAUACCGGAUAAUAUAUUGAACCGCAUGGUUCAAUAGUGAAAGACGGUUUUGCUGUCACUUAUAGAUGGAUCCGCGCCGCAUUAGCUAGUUGGUAAGGUAACGGCUUACCAAGGCAACGAUGCGUAGCCGACCUGAGAGGGUGAUCGGCCACACUGGAACUGAGACACGGUCCAGACUCCUACGGGAGACAGCAGUAGGGAAUCUUCCGCAAUGGGCGAAAGCCUGACGGAGCAACGCCGCGUGAGUGAUGAAGGUCUUCGGAUCGUAAAACUCUGUUAUUAGGGAAGAACAAAUGUGUAAGUAACUAUGCACGUCUUGACGGUACCUAAUCAGAAAGCCACGGCUAACUACGUG
rnacentral:rRNA from 1 species